rnacentral:rRNA from 1 species
UACGAAGGGGGGCUAGCGCUGCUCGGAAUCACUGGGCGUAAAGGGUGCGUAGGCGGGUCUUUAAGUCAGGGGUGAAAUCCUGGAGCUCAACUCCAGAACUGCCUUUGAUACUGAGGAUCUUGAGUUCGGGAGAGGUGAGUGGAACUGCGAGUGUAGAGGUGAAAUUCGUAGAUAUUCGCAAGAACACCAGUGGCGAAGGCGGCUCACUGGCCCGAUACUGACGCUGAGGCACGAAAGCGUGGGGAGCAAACAGGG